UAAUGUAGAAAAUCCUAUAUGUAUAUCUAAUUCAAAUUUGAAUUUAAGUAAAGUAAUGUAGAUAUCAAUCAAAUUAAUGUACGAACAUUUUGCGUGCAAACGCAAUUCAAUGAAUCGUGAUUAAUUUAUAUUCAAAUAGAGAACGAUAAACCCGUAAAACUAGCGGCUAUAACCCGGAUUCAAAUAUGAUGUGAAUUCGCAUUGUACUAUAUCGUAUAUCCCAUCC
rnacentral:lncRNA from 1 species